rnacentral:rRNA from 1 species
AAACUUUGGAGAGAGAGUCAAAAAGACCGCGAAACCGUUAGGAGGGAAACGGAUGCAACCAAAGUGGCUCUCAUUCAGGCUCAGGAGUUGUUGGCGUGCAGUGCCAGGCUGUUGGACGCCGUAGGGUGCGGCAACCAGGGUACAGCUGUCGACCACUCUGCAUUCCCGAUGAGAGUCGGCCAACAGCAGUUAUCCCUGACUCAGGAGGGUCAGUGGGGAGGUAGCUUCUUGGUUUACCGGGAAGAACUUAUAGCCAUUGACCUGGCAGUUGGGGGUGACUGAGGAGUGCUGUGACUUUUCACACCAGCAGUGCAGGCUCCCUAGGGGCCGGGUCGCUUCUGUCCGUGUGGACAAUGCUUCCGGGACUGCUUGCAGUGUCGGAGGACAUGUGUGUGCUCGGGUGGGAGGUCGGCCACGCCUUGCACUGAAGUUGUUGGUACGUGG